GAUGAACGCUGGCGGCGUGCCUAAUACAUGCAAGUCGAGCGAACGGACGAGAAGCUUGCCUCUCUGAUGUUAGCGGCGGACGGGUGAGUAACACGUGGAUAACCUACCUAUAAGACUGGGAUAACUUCGGGAAACCGUAGCUAAUACCGGAUAAUAUUUUGAACCGCAUGGUUCAAAAGUGAAAGACGGUCUUGCUGUCACUUAUAGAUGGAUCCGCGCUGCAUUAGCUAGUUGGUAAGGUAACGGCUUACCAAGGCAACGAUGCAUAGCCGACCUGAGAGGGUGAUCGGCCACCCUGGAACUGAGACACGGUCCAGACUCCUACGGGAGGCAGCAGUAGGGAAUCUUCCGCAAUGGGCGAAAGCCUGACGGAGCAACGCCGCGUGAGUGAUGAAGGUCUUCGGAUCGUAAAACUCUGUUAUUAGGGAAGAACAUAUGUGUAAGUAACUGUGCACAUCUUGACGGUACCUAAUCAGAAAGCCACGGCUAACUACGUG
rnacentral:rRNA from 1 species